GAUCCUGGCUCAGGAUGAACGCUAGCUACAGGCUUAACACAUGCAAGUCGAGGGGCAUCAGGAAGAAAGCUUGCUUUCUUUGCUGGCGACCGGCGCACGGGUGAGUAACACGUAUCCAACCUGCCCUUUACUCGGGGGAUAGCCUUUCGAAAGAAAGAUUAAUACCCGAUAGCAUAAUGAUUCCGCAUGGUUUCAUUAUUUAAAGGAUUCCCGGUAAAAGGAUGGGGAUGCGUUCCAUUAGGUUGUUGGUGAGG
rnacentral:rRNA from 1 species